GGCUAUGACAUGUCCACCUUUAUCAGACGCUACAGCCGUUAUCUCAACGAGAAGUCCUUCGCCUACAGACAGAUGUCUUUCGAUUUUGUCCGAGUCAAGAAAGGAGCUGAAGGAGCAAUGAGGACCAUGACAGUUGAGAAGCUGCUGAAAGGAAUGCCUAUCCUGCAGGGUCAGAUUGAUGCAUUGCUCGAUUUCGAUGUCCACCAACCAGAAUUAAACAACGGGGUGAUAAAUGCCUG